rnacentral:rRNA from 1 species
AGCGUACACGGUGGAUGCCCUGGCAGUCAGAGGCGAUGAAGGACGUGCUAAUCUGCGAUAAGCGUCGGUAAGGUGAUAUGAACCGUUAUAACCGGCGAUUUCCGAAUGGGGAAACCCAGUGUGUUUCGACACACUAUCAUUAACUGAAUCCAUAGGUUAAUGAGGCGAACCGGGGGAACUGAAACAUCUAAGUACCCCGAGGAAAAGAAAUCAACCGAGAUUCCCCCAGUAGCGGCGAGCGAACGGGGAGCAGCCCAGAGCCUGAAUCAGUGUGUGUGUUAGUGGAAGCGUCUGGAAAGGCGCGCGAUACAGGGUGACAGCCCCGUACACAAAAAUGCACAURCUGUGAGCUCGAUGAGUAGGGCGGGACACGUGGUAUCCUGUCUGAAUAUGGGGGGACCAUCCUCCAAGGCUAAAUACUCCUGACUGACCGAUAGUGAACCAGUACCGUGAGGGAAAGGCGAAAAGAACCCCGGCGAGGGGAGUGAAAAAGAACCUGAAACCGUGUACGUACAAGCAGUGGGAGCCUCUUUAUGGGGUGACUGCGUACCUUUUGUAUAAUGGGUCAGCGACUUAUAUUCUGUAGCAAGGUUAACCGAAUAGGGGAGCCGAAGGGAAACCGAGUCUUAACUGGGCGUUAAGUUGCAGGGUAUAGACCCGAAACCCGGUGAUCUAGCCAUGGGCAGGUUGAAGGUUGGGUAACACUAACUGGAGGACCGAACCGACUAAUGUUGAAAAAUUAGCGGAUGACUUGUGGCUGGGGGUGAAAGGCCAAUCAAACCGGGAGAUAGCUGGUUCUCCCCGAAAGCUAUUUAGGUAGCGCCUCGUGAAUUCAUCUCCGGGGGUAGAGCACUGUUUCGGCAAGGGGGUCAUCCCGACUUACCAACCCGAUGCAAACUGCGAAUACCGGAGAAUGUUAUCACGGGAGACACACGGCGGGUGCUAACGUCCGUCGUGAAGAGGGAAACAACCCAGACCGCCAGCUAAGGUCCCAAAGUCAUGGUUAAGUGGGAAACGAUGUGGGAAGGCCCAGACAGCCAGGAUGUUGGCUUAGAAGCAGCCAUCAUUUAAAGAAAGCGUAAUAGCUCACUGGUCGAGUCGGCCUGCGCGGAAGAUGUAACGGGGCUAAACCAUGCACCGAAGCUGCGGCAGCGACACUAUGUGUUGUUGGGUAGGGGAGCGUUCUGUAAGCCUGCGAAGGUGUACUGUGAGGUAUGCUGGAGGUAUCAGAAGUGCGAAUGCUGACAUAAGUAACGAUAAAGCGGGUGAAAAGCCCGCUCGCCGGAAGACCAAGGGUUCCUGUCCAACGUUAAUCGGGGCAGGGUGAGUCGACCCCUAAGGCGAGGCCGAAAGGCGUAGUCGAUGGGAAACAGGUUAAUAUUCCUGUACUUGGUGUUACUGCGAAGGGGGGACGGAGAAGGCUAUGUUGGCCGGGCGACGGUUGUCCCGGUUUAAGCGUGUAGGCUGGUUUUCCAGGCAAAUCCGGAAAAUCAAGGCUGAGGCGUGAUGACGAGGCACUACGGUGCUGAAGCAACAAAUGCCCUGCUUCCAGGAAAAGCCUCUAAGCAUCAGGUAACAUCAAAUCGUACCCCAAACCGACACAGGUGGUCAGGUAGAGAAUACCAAGGCGCUUGAGAGAACUCGGGUGAAGGAACUAGGCAAAAUGGUGCCGUAACUUCGGGAGAAGGCACGCUGAUAUGUAGGUGAAGUCCCUCGCGGAUGGAGCUGAAAUCAGUCGAAGAUACCAGCUGGCUGCAACUGUUUAUUAAAAACACAGCACUGUGCAAACACGAAAGUGGACGUAUACGGUGUGACGCCUGCCCGGUGCCGGAAGGUUAAUUGAUGGGGUUAGCGGUAACGCGAAGCUCUUGAUCGAAGCCCCGGUAAACGGCGGCCGUAACUAUAACGGUCCUAAGGUAGCGAAAUUCCUUGUCGGGUAAGUUCCGACCUGCACGAAUGGCGUAAUGAUGGCCAGGCUGUCUCCACCCGAGACUCAGUGAAAUUGAACUCGCUGUGAAGAUGCAGUGUACCCGCGGCAAGACGGAAAGACCCCGUGAACCUUUACUAUAGCUUGACACUGAACAUUGAGCCUUGAUGUGUAGGAUAGGUGGGAGGCUUUGAAGUGUGGACGCCAGUCUGCAUGGAGCCGACCUUGAAAUACCACCCUUUAAUGUUUGAUGUUCUAACGUUGGCCCCUGAUCGGGGUUGCGGACAGUGUCUGGUGGGUAGUUUGACUGGGGCGGUCUCCUCCUAAAGAGUAACGGAGGAGCACGAAGGUUGGCUAAUCCUGGUCGGACAUCAGGAGGUUAGUGCAAUGGCAUAAGCCAGCUUGACUGCGAGCGUGACGGCGCGAGCAGGUGCGAAAGCAGGUCAUAGUGAUCCGGUGGUUCUGAAUGGAAGGGCCAUCGCUCAACGGAUAAAAGGUACUCCGGGGAUAACAGGCUGAUACCGCCCAAGAGUUCAUAUCGACGGCGGUGUUUGGCACCUCGAUGUCGGCUCAUCACAUCCUGGGGCUGAAGUAGGUCCCAAGGGUAUGGCUGUUCGCCAUUUAAAGUGGUACGCGAGCUGGGUUUAGAACGUCGUGAGACAGUUCGGUCCCUAUCUGCCGUGGGCGCUGGAGAACUGAGGGGGGCUGCUCCUAGUACGAGAGGACCGGAGUGGACGCAUCACUGGUGUUCGGGUUGUCAUGCCAAUGGCACUGCCCGGUAGCUAAAUGCGGAAGAGAUAAGUGCUGAAAGCAUCUAAGCACGAAACUUGCCCCGAGAUGAGUUCUCCCUGACUCCUUGA